CUGGGUAGUUGCCAUCGCAUUCAUCACACACAAAAAUCUAGAACAUUUCAUCACAGAUAAAAGUCUUUAUGAACAUAUCACACAUAAAACAGCCAUGGCAAGCAAGCAAUUCAUCAAACACCUGACGAGCAACAAAAAAAAAACGAAGAAAUCAGAUCUGGGUUCAAAUCACAAGUUGAGAUCGAAUCAUACCACGAUGGGCUUGAACUCCUUGGCAUGCUGGACCUUCUUGAGCUCGGUCUGGAGGCGACCCGUCCCCAUUGCUGCUCGACGCCGCCCUCUUCGCCUUCUGCACCCGGGAAGCGGCGUACGGGCGGAUCUGCACCCGACAGUUGGGGACGCAGCCGGCGGACGGAGGAGACGACGCCCAGCAGUUGAGGACGACGGAUCCGGCGCCAGGCGGACGGGGAUUGAGGCCGCGGCGCCGCCGCUCACCUCCUCCUCGCGGUCGAGGAUGCAGGCCGCCGAACUGCCGCUCGCC
rnacentral:lncRNA from 1 species